rnacentral:rRNA from 44 species
AGUCAAGUAAUUAAGUGCAUGUGGUGGAUGCCUUGGCAGUCAGAGGCGAUGAAAGACGUGAUAGCCUGCGAAAAGCUCCGGGGAGGCGGCAAAUAUCCUUUGAUCCGGAGAUGUCUGAAUGGGGGAACCCACCUACUUUAAGGUAGGUAUUGCAACAUGAAUACAUAGUGUUGCAAGGCGAACGAGGGGAAGUGAAACAUCUCAGUACCCUUAGGAAAAGAAAUCAAUUGAGAUUCCCUCAGUAGCGGCGAGCGAACGGGGAUCAGCCCAUUAAGUUAUGUGUGUUUUAGUGGAACGCUCUGGGAAGUGCGAACGUAGAGGGUGAUAUUCCCGUACACGAAAGGGCACACAUAAUGAUGACGAGUAGGGCGAGGCACGUGAAACCUUGUCUGAAUAUGGGGGGACCAUCCUCCAAGGCUAAAUACUCCUGACUGACCGAUAGUGAACCAGUACCGUGAGGGAAAGGCGAAAAGAACCCCUGUGAGGGGAGUGAAAUAGAUCCUGAAACCGCAUGCAUACAAGCAGUGGGAGCACCUUCGUGGUGUGACUGCGUACCUUUUGUAUAAUGGGUCAGCGACUUAUAUUCAGUAGCGAGGUUAACCGUAUAGGGGAGCCGUAGAGAAAUCGAGUCUUAAUAGGGCGUUUAGUUGCUGGGUAUAGACCCGAAACCAGGCGAUCUAUCCAUGAGCAGGUUGAAGGUUGGGUAACACUAACUGGAGGACCGAACCCACUGUCGUUGAAAAGCCAGGGGAUGACUUGUGGAUAGGGGUGAAAGGCUAAUCAAGCCUGGUGAUAGCUGGUUCUCCCCGAAAGCUAUUUAGGUAGCGCCUCGGACGAAUACCAUAGGGGGUAGAGCACUGUUUCGGCUAGGGGGUCAUCCCGACUUACCAAACCGAUGCAAACUCCGAAUACCUAUGAGUACUAUCCGGGAGACAGACUGCGGGUGCUAACGUCCGUAGUCAAGAGGAAAACAAUCCAGACCGCCAGCUAAGGCCCCAAAAUCAUAGUUAAGUGGGAAACGAUGUGGGAAGGCAUAGACAGCUAGGAGGUUGGCUUAGAAGCAGCCACCCUUUAAAGAAAGCGUAAUAGCUCACUAGUCGAGUCGGCCUGCGCGGAAGAUGUAACGGGGCUAAAACUAUGUGCCGAAGCUGCGGAUGUAUACUUUGUAUACGUGGUAGGGGAGCGUUCUGUAAGCCGAUGAAGGUGUGUUGAGAAGCAUGCUGGAGGUAUCAGAAGUGCGAAUGCUGACGUGAGUAACGACAAAACGGGUGAAAAACCCGUUCGCCGAAAGACCAAGGGUUCCAGUCCAACGUUAAUCGGGGCUGGGUGAGUCGACCCCUAAGGCGAGGCCGAAAGGCGUAGUCGAUGGGAAAAUGGUUAAUAUUCCAUUACUUCUGUGUAAUGCGAUGAGAGGACGGAGAAGGCUAAAUCAGCCUGGCGUUGGUUGUCCAGGUGAAAGGAUGUAGGCAUGUAUCUUAGGCAAAUCCGGGGUACUCUAUGCUGAGAUCUGAUAGCAAGCUGUACUUGUACAGCGAAGUGGUUGAUGCCAUGCUUCCAGGAAAAGUCUCUAAGCUUCAGUUACACAGGAAUCGUACCCGAAACCGACACAGGUGGUCAGGUCGAGUAGACCAAGGCGCUUGAGAGAACUCUGCUGAAGGAACUAGGCAAAAUGGUACCGUAACUUCGGGAGAAGGUACGCUGUUGUUGGUGAUGGAACUCGCUUCCUGAGCUGACGACAGCCGCAGAAACCAGGCCGCUGCAACUGUUUAUUAAAAACAUAGCACUCUGCAAACACGAAAGUGGACGUAUAGGGUGUGAUGCCUGCCCGGUGCUGGAAGGUUAAUUGAUGGGGUUAGCGUAAGCGAAGCUCUUGAUCGAAGCCCCAGUAAACGGCGGCCGUAACUAUAACGGUCCUAAGGUAGCGAAAUUCCUUGUCGGGUAAGUUCCGACCUGCACGAAUGGCAUAAUGAUGGCGGCGCUGUCUCCAGCAGAGGCUCAGUGAAAUCGAAAUCGCUGUGAAGAUGCAGUGUACCCGCGGCUAGACGGAAAGACCCCGUGAACCUUUACUGCAGCUUGACACUGAACUUUGACCUUACUUGUGUAGGAUAGGUGGGAGGCUUUGAAGCUGGAACGCUAGUUCCAGUGGAGCCGUCCUUGAAAUACCACCCUGGUAAUGUUGAGGUUCUAACUCUGUCCCGUGAUCCGGGACGAGGACCGUGUCUGGUGGGUAGUUUGACUGGGGCGGUCUCCUCCUAAAGAGUAACGGAGGAGUACGAAGGUGCGCUCAGCGUGGUCGGAAAUCACGCGUAGAGUAUAAAGGCAAAAGCGCGCUUAACUGCGAGACCCACAAGUCGAGCAGGUACGAAAGUAGGUCUUAGUGAUCCGGUGGUUCUGUAUGGAAGGGCCAUCGCUCAACGGAUAAAAGGUACUCUGGGGAUAACAGGCUGAUACCGCCCAAGAGUUCAUAUCGACGGCGGUGUUUGGCACCUCGAUGUCGGCUCAUCUCAUCCUGGGGCUGAAGCAGGUCCCAAGGGUAUGGCUGUUCGCCAUUUAAAGAGGUACGCGAGCUGGGUUUAGAACGUCGUGAGACAGUUCGGUCCCUAUCUACCGUGGGCGCUGGAAAUUUGAGAGGAUCUGCUCCUAGUACGAGAGGACCAGAGUGGACGAACCUCUGGUGUACCGGUUGUGACGCCAGUCGCAUCGCCGGGUAGCUAUGUUCGGAAGGGAUAACCGCUGAAAGCAUCUAAGCGGGAAGCCUACCUCAAGAUAAGAUUUCCCUAGGACUUUAUGUCCUCUAAAGAGCCGUUCGAGACUAGGACGUUGAUAGGUUGGAUGUGGAAGCAUAGUGAUAUGUGAAGCUGACCAAUACUAAUUGCUCGUGAGGCUUGACUAUACAACACCC